GUGAGGAAUAUUGCGCAAUGGAGGCAACUCUGACGCAGCCAUGCCGCGUGUAGGAAGAAGGCGCUACGCGUUGUAAACUGCUUUUAACCGGGAAGAAACCCCAGGACGUGUCCUGGGUUGACGGUACCGGAGGAAUAAGCACCGGCUAACUUCGUGCCAGCAGCCGCGGUAAUACGAAGGGUGCAAGCGUUAUCCGGAUUCAUUGGGUUUAAAGGGUGCGUAGGCGGAGCGUUAAGUCAGUGGUGAAAUCCUGCAGCUUAACUGUAGACUUGCCAUUGAUACUGGCGCUCUUGAGUGCGCUUGAAGUGGGCGGAAUGUGCCGUGUAGCGGUGAAAUGCUUAGAUAUGGCACAGAACACCAAUUGCGAAGGCAGCUCACUAAGGCGAUACUGACGCUGAGGCACGAAAGCGUGGGGAUCGAACAGGAUUAGAUACCCCGGUAGUCC
rnacentral:rRNA from 1 species